UACGUAGGGGGCAAGCGUUGUCCGGAAUCAUUGGGCGUAAAGAGCGUGUAGGCGGCUUGGUAAGUCCGCUGUGAAAGUCCAGGGCUCAACCCUGGAAUGCCGGUGGAAACUGUCAAGCUUGAGUCCGGAAGAGGCGAGUGGAAUUCCUGGUGUAGCGGUGAAAUGCGCAGAUAUCAGAAGGAAUACCAAAGGCGAAGGCAACGAUCUGGCUAUGACUGACGCUCAGAGACGAAAGCAUGGGGAGCGAAUGGG
rnacentral:rRNA from 1 species